rnacentral:misc_RNA from 1 species
UUUAGCUUGAACUUGAUUGUCUGAAUGUAUCCUCUUUCCAUUAGCACUACCACCACUAUCUCCUUUCUUCCUGUCUGCAUUAUCCAAUGAACCUUUCCCAUCCCCUGAAAAGGCCAUAAUUUGACGGAGCUUGGAGGGAAUGGCAUCAAUAGAAGAGGUGUUGGGUGGGGGAGGAAGUCUAGUAGUGCCUCCAUGAGCUGCCCUGUAAUUCUUCUCUCUUCUCUUCUUCCCUUUACCUCCCAUUUUUGCUUCUUCUUCUUCUUAUCUGUGUCGACG